CGUCUAGCAGCGCCGCUGGCACAGCUUCCGUCCGUCAGCGUCGGCCUCUCUUGUGCUCUCGUCAUGUGUCAUAAUAGUAGUGUCUGAAGCUGCUGGGUGGUGUGCGCGCUCUUUCGUACUCGACCGACUGUCCUCGAAGGCUCUGUAAUGAUUGUGUCGGCGUGGACAUGUGCGCAGACGAUGCUGGGGGCCUGAUCGAAGGCGUCGGAAACGAGGUCCUCUUCACUGUACCUGUCGUCGCCGCCGUCGUCGUCGGACUGCUGGGUUUUGCAGGGUGGCAGCAGUUGCGGCAGCUGUCGAGUUGGUCACCAGCCGAGCUGCCUCCUCCACGGCGUGUACUGACAAGGGAGGCUCAACAAUGGUGCCGCAGCUGCGUCGCCAGCAGCAGAACACAGCAGCAUGGCAGCACACUACGGAUCAGACGCACAGUGCCCAUCUGCCUGGCUGAGCCCCGACACCGUGGAGACCAACUGCGGUCACCUCUUCUGUGCCAGCUGUCUUGUCUCCUACUGGCACCACGGCAACUGGAGAGGAGCAGUGCGGUGUCCCGUGUGCCGACAACAGGUGUCCGUGAUGCUGCGUUGCUUCCAGGACCAACACCUGGCUGAUGAGACAGAUGCUCAACGCGAGGAACGGGCCCGCCUGCUUCGAGAUAUCAAUGACUACAAUCGCCGAUAUUCAGGAGAGCCCAGGCCAUGGCUGGACCACCUGCGAGAUCUGCCAACGCUGUUGCGCCAUGCGGGCUCCGAGUUCUUCUCUGUGGGCGGCAUCAUGUACAUGUUCCGACUGCGCAUCGUGCUCUGCUUCGUGGCCGCCAUCAUGUACCUCAUCUCGCCACUGGACAUGAUUCCGGAGGCGAUCUUCGGCAUCCUUGGUCUGCUGGAUGACCUCUUUGUAGUGCUGCUUCUAGCCAUCUACGUUACCGUCAUCUAUCGGCGCUUCCUGGCUGCACGAUGGCAAGAGGAUGCGAACUGAACCAGACUGAUGACCGUGCUGGUGUGUGCUCGUACUGUGGCAAUGGUUCUGUACUGUGGUUUGGCCCAAGGUUCAGCCUUGCUUCUGCAAAGCCAGCCACCUCGUGUGUGCGUGUGGAUACAUGUGCUUUACUUUCCAAGGAAAUUGCAACAGCCCGGACACAUUUUAUCGAUGAAGUUACGACAGCACGCUCUUAGUGUUUUCGGGGAUGUCCCCUUUUAUAGCGAAAUUGCGCCUUGACAAUUUUAUGCUGCAGGCAUUGUAAAUUAUGCGAUGCUGCAGAAAAACUGCUCUGUAUCUGCUCUCGGUUAUAGACCGAGCACCUUGCUUUCUUGUAGCAGCAUUCAGGAGCUCAUUCACCCGGCAGUGAUCAGAUUGCCCUUUGUGUGAUACUGAUUUACUUGGACAGGGUAUCAUGCAGUGUUGACAGGCUACACACAUAUAUGCAGGACAUGCAGGCUCUGUUAUAGGCUCGACAUUCUGUAAAGGCCCAUUCAAUGAGCUGAAAUGUUGCGAGCGUGGCACUUACUGUUUGUUACAAAAUAAACGAUUUGUUAUUCAAGA